rnacentral:rRNA from 1 species
CCUACGGGAGGCAGCAGUGGGGGAUAUUGCACAAUGGGGGAAACCCUGAUGCAGCGACGCCGCGUGUGGGAAGACGGUCCUCUGGAUUGUAAACCACUGUCCCCAGGGACGAAAAUGACGGUACCUGGGGAGGAAGCUCCGGCUAACUACGUGCAAGCAGCCGCGGUAAUACGUAGGGAGCGAUCGUUGUCCGGAAAUACUGGGUGUAAAGGGAGCGUAAGCGGGGAUGUAAGUUGGGUGUCAAAACUACCGGCUAAACUGGUAGUCGCCCUCAAAACUGCAGCUCUUGAGUGAAGUAGAGGCAGGCGGAAUUCCUAGUGUAGCGGUGAAAUGCGUAGAUAUUAGGAGGAACACCAGUGGCGAAGGCGGCCUGCUGGGCUUUUACUGACGCUGAGGCUCGAAAGUGUGGGGAGCAAACAGGAUUAGAUACCCCAGUAGUC